rnacentral:rRNA from 1 species
UGGGGAAUCUUAGACAAUGGGCGAAAGCCUGAUCUAGCCAUGCCGCGUGAGUGACGAAGGCCCUAGGGUCGUAAAGCUCUUUCGCUGGGGAAGAUAAUGACUGUACCCAGUAAAGAAGUCCCGGCUAACUCCGUGCCAGCAGCCGCGGUAAUACGGAGGGGACUAGCGUUGUUCGGAAUUACUGGGCGUAAAGCGCGCGUAGGCGGACUAGUCAGUCAGGGGUGAAAUCCCGGGGCUCAACCCCGGAACUGCCUUUGAUACUGCUAGUCUAGAGUUCGAGAGAGGUGAGUGGAAUUCCGAGUGUAGAGGUGAAAUUCGUAGAUAUUCGGAGGAACACCAGUGGCGAAGGCGGCUCACUGGCUCGAUACUGACGCUGAGGUGCGAAAGCGUGGGGAGCAAACAGGAUUAGAUACCCCCGUAGUCC